ACGGAAAGACCCCGUGAACCUUUACUAUAGCUUGACACUGAACAUUGAAUUUUGAUGUGUAGGAUAGGUGGGAGACUUUGAAGCAGUCACGCCAGUGAUUGUGGAGUCGUCCUUGAAAUACCACCCUUUAACGUUUGAUGUUCUAACGAAGAUUGCGGAACGCGGUCUCGGACAGUGUCUGGUGGGUAGUUUGACUGGGGCGGUCUCCUCCCAAAGAGUAACGGAGGAGCACGAA
rnacentral:rRNA from 1 species